CACGUAGGGUGCGAGCGUUGUCCGGAAUUAUUGGGCGUAAAGAGCUUGUAGGCGGUUUGUCGCGUCUGCUGUGAAAAUCCGGGGCUCAACCCCGGACUUGCAGUGGGUACGGGCAGACUAGAGUGUGGUAGGGGAGACUGGAAUUCCUGGUGUAGCGGUGGAAUGCGCAGAUAUCAGGAGGAACACCGAUGGCGAAGGCAGGUCUCUGGGCCGCUACUGACGCUGAGAAGCGAAAGCAUGGGGAGCGAACAGG
rnacentral:rRNA from 1 species